UACGAAGGGUGCAAGCGUUAUUCGGAAUCAUUGGGCGUAAGGGUGUGUAGACGGUAUGUUAAGUCUGUUGUUAAAUGCUCCGGCCUAACUGGAGACCUGCGAUGGAAACUAACAUGCUAGAGGGUGGAAGAGAGAAGUGGAAUUCUCGGAGUAGCGGUAAAAUGCGUAGAUCUCGAGAGGAACACCAAUGGCGAAGGCAGCUUCUUGGUCCACUCCUGACGUUGAAACACGAAAGCGUGGGGAGCAAACAGG
rnacentral:rRNA from 1 species